GUGUCAGCAGCCGCGGUAAAACGUAGGAGGCAAGCGUUAUCCGGAGUAACUGGGCGUAAAGGGCGAGUAGGUGGUUGCGUAAGUUGGUUAUGAAAGCGCCUGGCUAAACUGGGCGAGGUUGACCAAGACUGCGCGACUUGAGUGGAGAAGAGGUAAACGGAAUUCCGCGUGUAGUGGUGAAAUGCGUAGAGAUGCGGAAGAACACCAGUGGCGAAGGCGGUUUACUGGUCUCCAACUGACACUGAACCGCGAAAGCAUGGGUAGCGAACGGGAUUAGAAACCCGAGUAGUCC
rnacentral:rRNA from 1 species